rfam:TPA: Bos taurus chromosome X, whole genome shotgun sequence.
UCCCUGGUGGCUUAGACGGUAAAGCAUCUGCCCACAAUGCUGGAGACCCAGGUUCGAUUCCUGGGUCGGGAA